rnacentral:lncRNA from 1 species
GCGAAUUCUAUGCUCUACAGAUGUAGACUGACUGGCUCCCGGUUGGAUUGGAUUCAAGCCGGUGACGCCGUUACACUAUACAACCAACUGUGACAUGUUACACUAUGGCCCUGGGUUGGGGAAGUGGUACAUUGUGGGCCUGGUGUACGACUCCCCAGUCUUCGCCCCCCUACAAAGACAAGCUUAGAGUAUCCAUGGGCAUCCUGACUCCACAUACCAAUGCCAACAUCCUGACUCCACAGACCAACGGCAAUGUCAACAUCCUGACUGAACAGACCAACGGCAAUGUCAACAUCCUGACUCCACAGACCAACGGCAAUGCCAACAUCCUGACUGAACAGACCAACGGCAACGUCAACAUCCUGACUCCACAAACCAAUGGCAACGUCAACAUCCUGACUCCACAAACCAAUGACAACGUCAACAUCCUGACUCCACAAACCAAUGGCAACGUCAAUCUCCUGACUCCACAGACCAACGUCAAUCUCCUGACUCCACAGACCAACGUCAAUCUCCUGACUCCACAGACCAACGUCAAUCUCCUGACUCCACAGACCAACAUCAAUCUCCUGACUCCACAGACCAACGUCAAUGUCAACCUCACCAAGUCGGCCCAGAGGAUAACAGAAUGAUAUACAACACCAGAAUGAGCAUUGGCAUCCCGGCAACCUAACUAAAAGACAGCCACCUUGGUUAGGGUAUUGAAGAUGUACUAAGAUGGACGCAUAUUCCUAUUCUAUCAUUAUGUUCUUUCUCCUUGUGUGAAGAUCGUCAUGAUGCCGCAGUAAGCUCUAUGCAUACGAUAAGUCAGUGAUACAUGGUGAAUUCAUCCUUUUUUUUAUGAGCAUGUCCUUAUU